AAGACCCCCAAUUUCUAGAAUUCAUGGCCAUCCAGAAAAUUACACUCAACUGGAGAGGGGAAGAUGAAAUUAGAAAAUUGGGAAGAAUCGAAACAAAAUGGAUUUUCAAUCUUAACACUCUAGCACCUAUGGGUUUAAAUGCUGAUUUUGAGUUAUGUCACUUUUUAUAAAACAUAUAAACCACAAAUAUUGCUUUUUACUGGGUCUGCUAUCUUGCAUGUUCUUAUAUAUGAGCCAUCACUGCUUUAAACAAUGUAAAAGCAAGUGUACUCAUUUCAUGUAAAUCUUAUAUAUUUUUAGCAAUGAGAAAAAAUAGCAGUUGAAAUCAGUGGUAAAAUAUGUUUAUAUAAAUAGAGUUUCACCACAAUGCACCUUUUAAACACAAGUCACU